CUUAAACAUGGUUAUUUGUAUUCAUUUAAAUUUUUGCUUCAGAAAUGGUUUUACAAAAUUUUGGUUCAUUCUGUCUAUUCUAGUGUAACCUUGAUCCUUGAACAGUAAAUACUAUGAAUUAUAUUUUAGGAAAGUUGUUUCUGUGCUUACGUUUGCACAAGUGAGAGUUCUCAGCUGUUGGAUCGACAACAUUAGCUGGAUUGAUGGCUAAUGUCCCCGUGAGUAUAGCCAUCAAUCUGGC
rnacentral:misc_RNA from 1 species